rnacentral:rRNA from 1 species
CAGCCGCCGCGGGAAAACGGAGGGCGCAAGCGUUAAUCGGAAUUACUGGGCGUAAAGCGUGCGUAGGCGGUUCGUUAAGUCUGAUGUGAAAGCCCCCGGCUCAACCGGGGAGGGUCAUUGGAAACUGGGAAACUUGAGUACAGAAGAGGAGAGUGGAAUUCCACGUGUAGCGGUGAAAUGCGUAGAGAUGUGGAGGAACACCAGAGGCGAAGGCGACUCUCUGGUCUGUAACUGACGCUGAGGAGCGAAAGCGUGGGGAGCGAACAGGAUUAGAUACCCGGGUAGUCCCUGUCUCUUAUAA